rnacentral:rRNA from 1 species
AUUGAACGCUGGCGGCAUGCCUUACACAUGCAAGUCGAACGGCAGCACGGGAGCAAUCCUGGUGGCGAGUGGCGAACGGGUGAGUAAAGUAUCGGAACGUGCCCAGUCGUGGGGGAUAACGUAGCGAAAGUUACGCUAAUACCGCAUACGAUCUAUGGAUGAAAGCGGGGGAUCGCAAGACCUCGCGCGAUUGGAGCGGCCGAUAUCAGAUUAGGUAGUUGGUGGGGUAAAGGCUCACCAAGCCGACGAUCUGUAGCUGGUCUGAGAGGACGACCAGCCACACUGGGACUGAGAACCGGCCCAGACUCCGACGGGAGGCAGCAGUGGGGAAUUUUGGACAAUGGGCGCAAGCCUGAUCCAGCCAUGCCGCGUGCAGGAUGAAGGCCUUCGGGUUGUAAACUGCUUUUGUACGGAACGAAAAGGUUUGGCUUAAUACGUUGAACUCAUGACGGUACCGUAAGAAUAAGCACCGGCUAACUACGUGCCAGCAGCCGCCGUAA